rnacentral:rRNA from 1 species
AUGAACGCUAGCUACAGGCUUAACACAUGCAAGUCGAGGGGCAGCAUUUCAGUUUGCUUGCAAACUGGAGAUGGCGACCGGCGCACGGGUGAGUAACACGUAUCCAACCUGCCGAUAACUCGGGGAUAGCCUUUCGAAAGAAAGAUUAAUACCCGAUGGUAUAAUCAGACCGCAUGGUCUUGUUAUUAAAGAAUUUCGGUUAUCGAUGGGGAUGCGUUCCAUUAGGCAGUUGGUGAGGUAACGGCUCACCAAACCUUCGAUGGAUAGGGGUUCUGAGAGGAAGGUCCCCCACAUUGGAACUGAGACACGGUCCAAACUCCUACGGGAGGCAGCAGUGAGGAAUAUUGGUCAAUGGGCGCAGGCCUGAACCAGCCAAGUAGCGUGAAGGAUGACUGCCCUAUGGGUUGUAAACUUCUUUUAUAUGGGAAUAAAGUUUUCCACGUGUGGAAUUUUGUAUGUACCAUAUGAAUAAGGAUCGGCUAACUCCGUGCCAGCAGCCGCGGUAAUACGGAGGAUCCGAGCGUUAUCCGGAUUUAUUGGGUUUAAAGGGAGCGUAGGUGGACAGUUAAGUCAGUUGUGAAAGUUUGCGGCUCAACCGUAAAAUUGCAGUUGAUACUGGCUGUCUUGAGUACAGUAGAGGUGGGCGGAAUUCGUGGUGUAGCGGUGAAAUGCUUAGAUAUCACGAAGAACUCCGAUUGCGAAGGCAGCUCACUGGACUGCAACUGACACUGAUGCUCGAAAGUGUGGGUAUCAAACAGGAUUAGAUACCCUGGUAGUCCACACAGUAAACGAUGAAUACUCGCUGUUUGCGAUAUACAGUAAGCGGCCAAGCGAAAGCAUUAAGUAUUCCACCUGGGGAGUACGCCGGCAACGGUGAAACUCAAAGGAAUUGACGGGGGCCCGCACAAGCGGAGGAACAUGUGGUUUAAUUCGAUGAUACGCGAUGAACCUUACCCGGGCUUAAAUUGCAUUUGAAUAUAUUGGAAACAGUAUAGCCGUAAGGCAAAUGUGAAGGUGCUGCAUGGUUGUCGUCAGCUCGUGCCGUGAGGUGUCGGCUUAAGUGCCAUAACGAGCGCAACCCUUAUCUUUAGUUACUAACAGGUCAUGCUGGGGACUCUAGAGAGACUGCCGUCGUAAGAUGUGAGGAAGGUGGGGAUGACGUCAAAUCAGCACGGCCCUUACGUCCGGGGCUACACACGUGUUACAAUGGGGGGUACAGAAGGCAGCUACCUGGUGACAGGAUGCUAAUCCCAAAAGCCUCUCUCAGUUCGGAUCGAAGUCUGCAACCCGACUUCGUGAAGCUGGAUUCGCUAGUAAUCGCGCAUCAGCCAUGGCGCGGUGAAUACGUUCCCGGGCCUUGUACACACCGCCCGUCAAGCCAUGAAAGCCGGGGGUACCUGAAGUACGUAACCGCAAGGAGCGUCCUAGGGUAAAACUGGUAAUUGGGGCU